rnacentral:rRNA from 1 species
GUGCGAUUAUACCAGCACUAAUGCACCGGAUCCCAUCAGAACUCCGCAGUUAAGCGUGCUUGGGCGAGAGUAGUACUAGGAUGGGUGACCUCUUGGGAAGUCCUCGUGUUGCAC